AGAGUUUGAUCAUGGCUCAGGACGAACGCUGGCGGCGUGCUUAACACAUGCAAGUGGUGCGACGAACCAGGGCUUGCCCUGGGGCAAAGCCGCGAACGGGUGAGUAACACGUGAGUAACCUGCCCCGAUGACCGGGACAACCCGAGGAAACUCGGGCUAAUACCGGAUGUGGCGCACAGGCAUCAGCCUGUUCGCUAAAGGAAGCUUCGGCCUCCGCAUUGGGAGGGGCUCGCGGCCCAUUAGCUUGUUGGUGGGGUAACGGCCUACCAAGGCAACGAUGGGUAGCUGGUCUGAGAGGACGAUCAGCCACACUGGGACUGAGACACGGCCCAGACUCCUACGGGAGGCAGCAGUGGGGAAUCUUGCGCAAUGCGCGAAAGCGUGACGCAGCAACGCCGCGUGGGGGAAGACGGCCUUCGGGUUGUAAACCCCUUUCAGGAGGGACGAAGGUUCACCGGUGAAUAGCCGUGUGGAUUGACGGUACCUCCACAAGAAGCUCCGGCUAACUACGUGCCAGCAGCCGCGGUAAUACGUAGGGAGCAAGCGUUGUCCGGAAUCAUUGGGCGUAAAGCGCGCGUAGGUGGCUCCAUAAGUCCGUUGUGAAAGUCAAAGGCUCAACCUUUGAAAGCCGAUGGAUACUGUGGAGCUAGAGUACGGAAGAGGCGAGUGGAAUUCCUGGUGUAGCGGUGGAAUGCGCAGAUAUCAGGAGGAACACCAAUAGCGAAGGCAGCUCGCUGGGACGUUACUGACACUGAGGCGCGAAAGCGUGGGGAGCGAACAGGAUUAGAUACCCUAGUAGUCC
rnacentral:rRNA from 1 species